rnacentral:tRNA from 1 species
GGCCCCGUGGAUCAGCUGGUAGAGCGUUCUCUGCACAAAAGCUUAGACAGGGUUCAUGCGUGGGUUCAAAUCCCACCGAGGCUA